rnacentral:lncRNA from 1 species
GCUGGCUGAGCACCGUGGGUCGGCGAGGGCCCGCCAAGGAAGGAGCGACCGACCGAGCCAGGCGCCCUCCGCAGACCUCCGCGCAGCGGCCGCGGGCGCGAGGGGAGGGGUCUGGAGCUCCCUCCGGCUGCCUGUCCCGCACCGGAGCCCGUGGGGUGGGGAGGUGUGCAGCCUGUGACAGACAGGGGCUUAGAGAUGCAAACAGACUCAGGGAGAGAAACAGAAGCUGAUUCUGUGACAGAAGCAGAUCUGUGCAGCACAGAUGCGGUGUGCGUGGGGAGGGGGUCGCCUGGGAGCGCAUUGCGGAGUGCUUGUGUGUGCAGAUUUUUCUCUGGGCUCAGGACUCAUUGUAUGUGGGUCAACACCUUCCUCCGUGACUGUGUUUUUGUUCUGAGCUGAGUUUUUUGGUUUGCCCUUAAAAAAAUAAUAAUUUGGCAUCCAGAGACUGGCAGACUGCCUCAGGGCCUGGACUGCGGAUAUAUUGUGUUCUGCUUGAGGUUUGGGGAGGAGGGCAGGCGGUAGGAAGGGAGAGGGGGAGCUGUUUGUCACACUUUGCUGUAGAGCUGAGAGCACCUGACAAGCUUAAGGAAGUCGUUGGGCUAUGUGGACAAGAAGGAGCCAGCUCCCAGCGGGUUCACAAGCUCUAUCGGAGUUGAAAGCGUGGUCAUGGCUCUAAGGAGCACCUCACGCCCUCCCUGUAGCUGUUAUUGCAGUUUCAGGCAGAGAUCCAGGAGCUGCAGAGGAAGGGAGAGGCACAAUAACCUACAUGGACCCAAGGGAGACAUGUGUUCCUUUAAAAAUGUGAACAGAAGGAAAAACAGAAUGUGUGCAACUGGGGGUCUGAGGAAAGACUGUUUUGAAAGAGGCUGUCAGGGAAUGGAAAGGGUUAAGCUUUUCAUCCUGAAGAACCUGCUUCCCAAAUCAGGCCUUCCUCCCAUCACUAGACCCUGAGCAGCAGCUGGUCCUAGAGACCCCCCUCGUACUGCGCUGCCACAGUCUCAUCCCAUUUCCAGCUCUGUAUUAACCACCAAGCUGCAGCGGAUGGGGCAAGACCUAAGCUCAUUAAUUUCCAGGUGGAGGAAAUGGAGGAGGGGCAGGUCCCUGCAGUAGAGGGAGGAGCAGAGAAAGGAGGCCAAGAGCUGGAUCCUUCUGCCCAGGAAGCCUGCUGCAUCCCUUCCCCCGAGCAUGGCAGAGGCCUGGCUUUGCAAGGCCAAGGCCAUAAGGGAUGCUUAGGAGAUUAAUUUGAUUCCUGACACAAUAAUCAAGCCCUAAGAGUCUCCACUGAAGCUUACUGAGGACUUCUUUCCUCUCCAAAGCCUCAGUCUAGCCUGCUAAAUAAAUUAGUAUUCAGUGAUGCCUUGGAUCAGGGCCCCUCCCCGGCCUCAGUUUCCCCAAAUAUUUAUUAAGUACCUACUGUGUGCAAUCCUUGUGUAAUUAUUAACUCUUAGGCUCUUCAUUUGCCCUCCUAAAGCAGUGUUUAGAGUCAGGCAGAGGUUAAGUGUGUUGCACCUCACCUAGAUACUUCCAGAACCUUCUCUGGGUCUGCAGAAUGUGGCACAACCUGCUUGCCCCCGCAGAGAGAAAGCUGCAGUGCACAUCCUGCAGACUGCAGGUGCUGGGCUGCCUCUGGAGUCCCAGAAGGCAAGCUUGGCUGCAGGACAGAAAGGGAGAACAGCUUCUCUCACCCCUGAGCCUUCACAAGCCCUUGUCUAUUUGCCGUUGCCUUCAAAAUAUACCUCCCCCGAAACCAGUAGCUUUCUGAGUCCUGGUGUCCCCUCCGCCCUUUCUGGACAGGUUUGGGAAGAAGAAAGCAGUCAGUGCUGGGCCUUAUUGGGGUGUGAAGCGCCUUGCUCUGCCCCUUCUGCUCACUGUGAAGGCCGCUGGAUGCUUCUCUUAGGCAUGGUUUAAGCCUCCGAUUACUAAACCCCUUGCCCCACAAACGUCCACAUUGACGAGCCUCUAAACAGCCCAGAUCUCCUCUUAAGCGGAAAAGAGAUUGACCUUCUAGCAGAGGCAAAGGUAAACUCCUAAUGGAGUCUUCUGGGGGCAGCUGCAAAGCGUUCUCCCUAGGACAGAUGGAGCCUCCCUUUCCUCAUCUACUCUGUGGGUGGUUUCAGGGCCCACGAGUCAACAUGAGGAGUUGUGCUGGUGGUAUGUGUGUUGGAGGCUGGGCUGGCUGAUUCACAGUGACGAGGAUGUCAAUAAUAACAAGAAUGAGAAUGAUGGUACCUAAUAAAGACUUUUUUUCCCAAGUCCCAUCUACAAUUCUUUCAUUGGGUGUUUUGCCAAGUCUUU